rnacentral:rRNA from 1 species
GACGAACGCUGGCGGCGUGCUUAACACAUGCAAGUCGAACGGAAAGGCCCUGCUUUUGUGGGGUGCUCGAGUGGCGAACAGGUGAGUAACACGUGAGUAACCUGCCCUUGACUUUGGGAUAACUUCAGGAAACUGCGGCUAAUACCGGAUAGGAGCUCCUGCUGCAUGGUGGGGGUUGGAAAGUUUCGGCGGUUGGGGAUGGACUCGCGGCUUAUCAGCUUGUUGGUGGGGUAGUGGCUUACCAAGGCUUUGACGGGUAGCCGGCCUGAGAGGGUGACCGGCCACAUUGGGACUGAGAUACGGCCCAGACUCCUACGGGAGGCAGCAGUGGGGAAUAUUGCACAAUGGGCGGAAGCCUGAUGCAGCAACGCCGCGUGCGGGAUGACGGCCUUCGGGUUGUAAACCGCUUUCGCCUGUGACGAAGCGUGAGUGACGGUAAUGGGUAAAGAAGCACCGGCUAACUACGUG